GAUGAACGCUGGCGGCGUGCCUAAUACAUGCAAGUCGAGCGAACAGAUGAGGAGCUUGCUCCUCUGACGUUAGCGGCGGACGGGUGAGUAACACGUGGAUAACAUACCUAUAAGACUGGGAUAACUUCGGGAAACCGGAGCUAAUACCGGAUAAUAUAUUGAACCGCAUGGUUCAAUAGUGAAAGACGGUUUUGCUGUCACUAAUAGAUGGAUCCGCGCCGCAUUAGCUAGUUGGUAAGGUAAAGGCUUACCAAGGCAACGAUGCGUAGCCGCCCUGAGAGGGUGGUCGGCCACACUGGAACUGAGACACGGUCCACACUCCUGCGGUAGGCAGCAGUAGGGAAUCUUCCGCAAUGGGCGAAAGCCUGACGGAGCAACGCCGCGUGAGUGAUGAAGGUCUUCGGAUCGUAAAGCUCUGUUAUUAGUGAAGAACAAAUGUGUAAGUAACUGUGCACGUCUUGACGGUACCGAAUCAGAAAGCCACGGCUAACUACGUG
rnacentral:rRNA from 1 species